UACGUAGGGAGCAAGCGUUGUCCGGAAUCAUUGGGUGUAAAGCGUGCGCAGGCGGUUUGCUAAGACCGAUGUGAAAUCCCCGGGCUCAACCUGGGAACUGCAUUGGUGAUUGGCAGGCUAGAGUAUGGCAGAGGGGGGUAGAAUUCCACGUGUAGCAGUGAAAUGCGUAGAGAUGUGGAGGAAUACCGAUGGCGAAGGCAGCCCCCUGGGCCAAUACUGACGCUCAUGCACGAAAGCGUGGGGAGCAAACAGG
rnacentral:rRNA from 1 species